UUGGAGGGCAAGUCUGGUGCCAGCAGCCGCGGUAAUUCCAGCUCCAAUAGCGUAUAUUAAAGUUGUUGCAGUUAAAAAGCUCGUAGUUGAAUUUCGGGAUCAAUAUAUCGGUCGUGCCUUGGUACGUACUGGUAUCAUUGGUUUCUCCUUUCUGACGAACCAUGAUGUCAUUAAUUUGGUGUUAUGGGAAGUUAGGACUGUUACUUUGAAAAAAUUAGAGUGUUUAAAGCAGGCUUUAGCUUGAAUACAUUAGCAUGGAAUAAUGAAAUAGGACGUUCGAACCUAUUUUGUUGGUUUCUAGGAUCAACGUAAUGAUUAAUAGGGAUAGUAGGGGGCAUUAGUAUUCAAUUGUCAGAGGUGAAAUUCUUGGAUUUAUUGAAGACUAACUACUGCGAAAGCAUUUGCCAAGGAUGUUUUCAUUAAUCAAGAACGAAAGUUAGGGGAUCGAAGACGAUCAGAUACCGUCGUAGUCUUAACCAUGAACUAUGCCGACUAGGGAUCGGAUGAUGUUAAUUUUUUAAUGACUCAUUCGGCGCCUUACGGGAAAC
rnacentral:rRNA from 1 species